CGAGAGGAGGGCGGGGAGGCGGGGACCCGGCCGGCGGGGGUGGGGAGGCUGGAAACUGGCCCUCGCGAGGCAGCCUGUGCGCGCUAGGGGGAGCCGCACCCGCCGCCCUCCUCUGCUGCACUGCACCUCUCCCUGGCCGGGCUGACCCCGCCUCCUCCAGCCCUCCCCGCCCCACUACCCAGGAAGGCCGUGAGUGGUGCGAGCGCCGCUUUCGCUUUCCCUUCGCGGUGCCCACUCCGUUCCUCGUGCGGCGCUAGGCCCCCCGUCCCGGUCAUGGCCACGCUCAGGGUCCAGCCCGAGGCCCAAGCCAAGGUGGAUGUGUUUCGUGAAGACCUCUGUACCAAGACAGAGAACCUGCUCGGGAGCUAUUUCCCCAAGAAGAUUUCUGAGCUGGAUGCAUUUUUAAAGGAGCCAGCUCUCAAUGAAGCCAACCUGAGCAAUCUGAAGGCCCCGUUGGACAUCCCAGUGCCUGAUCCAGUCAAGGAGAAAGAGAAAGAGGAACGGAAGAAACAGCAGGAGAAGGAAGACAAGGAUGAAAAGAAGAAGGGGGAGGAUGAAGACAAAGGUCCUCCCUGUGGUCCAGUGAACUGCAAUGAAAAGAUCUUGGUCCUUCUGCAGCGCUUGAAGCCUGAGAUCAAGGAUGUCAUUGAGCAGCUCAACCUGGUCACCACCUGGUUGCAGCUGCAGAUACCUCGGAUUGAGGAUGGUAACAAUUUUGGAGUGGCUGUCCAGGAGAAGGUGUUUGAGCUGAUGACCAGCCUCCACACCAAGCUAGAAGGCUUCCACACCCAAAUCUCUAAGUAUUUCUCUGAGCGUGGUGAUGCAGUGACUAAAGCAGCCAAGCAGCCCCAUGUGGGUGAUUAUCGGCAGCUGGUGCACGAGCUGGAUGAGGCAGAGUACCGGGACAUCCGGCUGAUGGUCAUGGAGAUCCGCAAUGCUUAUGGACCCAGCGGAGACCUUGGUUCUCCAGGACGAUGACCGGGGGCACACGAGGCUGAGGCACCAGUUUCUGAUUAUCCAACUGAGUGGACAAAGAAGGGCAAGUGGCCUGCGGGGAUCGGGCCUGCUGGAUGCUUGAUGUACGACUGCUUGAUGCUUGAGUGCUGUGGGAAACAGGUGCUCAGAUACUGCUGGUGAGAGUGGAAACCAAAGGUGGUCUUUUUGGAAGGUAAUUUGGCAUAACCAUCCAAACUGAAACUGUAUACAUACUACAUACUAUACAUAUGCUAACCCAGAAAUUCUACUUAUAAAGAAUUUACGGUAAUAAUAGGACAGUGUCUGUAAUAAAACAUUGGAAACAACCUCAAUGUUUGAAGCAUUAAAUAAAUCAUAGUACAUCCAUAUUCAGACUAUACAGUUGUUAGGGAAAGGUAGAUCUUGCUGUGGAAAUGGGAUGAUGUCAAGUAUUUAUUAAGUGAGGGAGAAACGCAAAUUACAAAACAGUAUCUCUAAUCUGCUUCAUGUAUAUGAUUUAUAUAUAUAUAUAAUUGUCUUUUCCUAUAUAUAUAAGGAAACUGCCUUAUUUUUGAAGUUGCUGGUUGGGAUUUCUCUGUUCUUUCAGCACCUGGGGGACACCUCAGUUAAAGCAAGAUCAGUCUGUUGGCCAGGAGUGGUGGCUCACGCCUGUAAUCCCAGCACUUUGGGAGGCUGAAGCUCGUGGAUCACCUGAGGUCAAGUUCUAGACCAGCCUGGCCAACAUGGCGAAACCCCAUCUCUACUAAAAACAAAAAAAUAAAAAUAA